GUAUUAACAUUAAGGCCUUAAAAGGCACAAGAUCACAUUCAACAUUAUAGAGACAGUGUAUAUAAAUAAGAAGGGAAAACUUCCCUUCCUUUCAAAGGUGCACAAGUGUUUGGAUAAGGAUUGUUAGAAGCGAGCACAUGCAACUGAAGAAUCAACUGCCAGCAUCAGCCCCCAUUUACAAUUCAUUAAUGAUCCUUCCGCAGGUUCACCUACGGAAA
rnacentral:misc_RNA from 1 species